rnacentral:RNase_P_RNA from 1 species
ACGGAGGGUCACGUGGUCGCACCAAGUCCGUUUCUAAGACUUGGUGAGGAAAGUCCGAACACCGCAGGGCAGGAUGCCGGGUAACUCCCGGGCGGCGUGAGCCGACGGACAGUGCAACAGAAAACAUACCGCCAACGUCGCGGCAACGCGACACGGUAAGGGUGAAAUGGUGGGGUAAGAGCCCACCGCGGACCCGGUAACGGGUUCGGCACUGCAAACCCCAUCCGGUGCAAAGCCAAAUAGGGGCGGAAUCGAGGUAGCCCGCUUCGUCAGCGGAUUCGGUCCUCCGAAUCCGACGCCCGGGUAGGCUGCGCGCGAGGGACGCGGUAACGCGUCUCCCAGAUAGAUGACCUCGGCGAUUCCGCGAGUGUGGGAUCGUGAACAGAAUUCGGCUUAUCGACCCUCCGUGUCC